rnacentral:tRNA from 1 species
GAUUAAUGAGCUUGAAUAAGCAUAUAUUUUGAAUAUAUAAGAUAAAAAUAAAUAUUUUUAUUAAUCU